rnacentral:rRNA from 1 species
AUACGGAGGGGGCUAGCGUUGUUCGGAAUUACUGGGCGUAAAGCGCGCGUAGGCGGCCUGCCAAGUUGGGGGUGAAAGCCCGGGGCUCAACCCCGGAACUGCCCUCAAAACUGGCAAGCUAGAGACCGGGAGAGGUGAGUGGAAUUCCCAGUGUAGAGGUGAAAUUCGUAGAUAUUGGGAAGAACACCAGUGGCGAAGGCGGCUCUCUGGUCCGGUACUGACGCUAAGGUGCGAAAGCGUGGGGAGCAAACAGGAUUAGAAACCCCAGUAGUCC